UGGGGAAUAUUGCACAAUGGGCGCAAGCCUGAUGCAGCCAUGCCGCGUGUAUGAAGAAGGCCUUCGGGUUGUAAAGUACUUUCAGCGGGGAGGAAGGUGUUGAGGCUAAUAACCUCAGCAAUUGACGUUACCCGCAGAAGAAGCACCGGCUAACUCCGUGCCAGCAGCCGCGGUAAUACGGAGGGUGCAAGCGUUAAUCGGAAUUACUGGGCGUAAAGCGCACGCAGGCGGUCUGUCAAGUCGGAUGUGAAAUCCCCGGGCUCAACCUGGGAACUGCAUUCGAAACUAGCAGGCUAGAGUCUUGUAGAGGGGGGUAGAAUUCCAGGUGUAGCGGUGAAAUGCGUAGAGAUCUGGAGGAAUACCGGUGGCGAAGGCGGCCCCCUGGACAAAGACUGACGCUCAGGUGCGAAAGCGUGGGGAGCAAACA
rnacentral:rRNA from 1 species